AUGUACAUUCCUACAGCAUAGCGUUAAUGCACCAGAUCCCAUUAGAACUUUGUAGUUAAGUGUGCUUAGGCUAGAGUAAUAUUGGGAUGUGUGACUGCCAAAUAAGUCCUAGUAUUUUACAUA
rnacentral:rRNA from 1 species